rnacentral:lncRNA from 1 species
CAGGCACCAGAAUGUUCUUUUAUUGCUUGCAUGACAAAGAGGAAAGAAAAAGAGAGGAAUGGGAUAGACCAGUGGUUCUCCAAGUGUGGUAGCUGAACCAGGUUCAUCCACGACACUAGGGAACUUAAUAGGACUGUAGAAUCUGAGGUCCCACCCCAGACCUACUAAAUCAGCAACUCUGAGGACCAGGGUCCGUCCAGCUUGUGGUUUAACAAGCCAGCCAGGUGAUUCCAAUAUCAGCUAAACUCUGCGAUCCACAGGUACAGACAUUUUACCUCUUUAAUCUUAAUUUAAAAAACCUCAUCUUCUCUGCCCGAGCCCAACGCUUCUGCCCGGGACAUGGAGGACCUAGACGUGCAGGACUGGGCUGUCAGCACCAGGGUGAUCCUGCCAUCCUGCAGUGAUGGAGAUUUUGCUCUCAUUGAGUCUGUCUGGAUUAUUUCUGGUUCAUGGACAAUCUGGUUUAUUCCUGUCUUCAUAUCAUCUGGACCUCUUUCCUGGUGCCUAUUUCCCAGGAUACUACCUCCAGUACAAUGUUGAAUAGAAGUGGUGAAAAAAGGAGAAAGAUUCUUAGGAGAACAAAUUCUUUCAUGGGAAGACACACCGUCAGAAAGUUAAGUUUUGACACAAGUACAAAACCUCGGACAGUGUCUUUGAAUAAUAAAGAGAAGAAAGAACAACUCUUCCUGGGGAUGCCUGUCCUAGUGUAAGCAGGUUACACGAGAAGACAAUUGUGUUUGAUGGUACAAGAACCUGAAUUCUGGAACCAGAUAGUCUCUGCUUGAAUUGAGAUUCUGUCACCAACAUGCUAUGUGACCGUGAGCAAAUAAUUUGACUUCCUGUGCCUCAGUUUCUUCCUCUAAAAUGUAGAUAAUGAUGAAUAAUAAUAGCUAUUGGUUGUUGAGUAUAAUAAAUAAUUCAGUGUAUACAAAGGUGUUUGCACAGUGCUUGGAAACACAGGUAAAGCCAUGUAAGGAUGGCUCUUGUAAUAGGAAAGCUAGGCCUUGAAAUGAGAGGUGACAGGUGCCAGGCAC